UGUCACAAGCUCUCCCUAUAACAAUGUUGCCUUUUGAUGACCGGGAUGAAUUGAGAGAAAUUGUAACGGACAGAUACGGGGCAUACAGGU